rnacentral:rRNA from 1 species
AUUGAACGCUGGCGGAAUGCUUUACACAUGCAAGUCGAGCGGCAGCACGGGGGCAACCCUGGUUGCGAGCGGCGAACGGGUGAGUAAUACAUCGGAACAUGCUCAGUCGUGGGGGAUAACACUUCGAAAGAAGUGCUAAUACCGCAUACGUCCUGAGGGGGAAAGCGGGGGAUCGCAAGACCUCGCGCGAUUGGAGUGGCCGAUGUCAGAUUAGCUAGCUGGUGGGGUAAAGGCCUACCAAGGCAACGAUCGGUAGCUGGACUGAGAGGAUGAUCAGCCACACUGGGGCUGAGACACGGCCCAGACUCCUACGGGAGGCAGCAGUGGGGAAUUUUGGACAAUGGGGGCAACCCUGAUCCAGCCAUUCCGCGUGAGUGAAGAAGGCCUUCGGGUUGUAAAGCUCUUUCGGCAGGAACGAAACGGUGAGCUCUAACAUAGCUUGCUAAUGACGGUACCUGAAGAAGAAGCACCGGCUAACUACGUA